AGUUCGGAUUGAAGGCUGAAAUUGCCUUCAUGAAGCCGGAAUUGCUAGUAAUGGCAGGUCAGCAUACUGCCGUGAAUACGUUCCCGGGCCUUGUACACACCGCCCGUCACACCAUGAGAGUUGGGAAUACCCGAAGCCUGUGAGCUAACUUUUAGAGGCAGCAGUCGAAGGUAGAAUCAAUGAUUGGGGUGAAGUCGUAACAAGGUAGC
rnacentral:rRNA from 1 species